rnacentral:rRNA from 1 species
CGCGUAGGUGGUUUGUUAAGUUGGAUGUGAAAUCCCCGGGCUCAACCUGGGAACUGCAUCCAAAACUGGCAAGCUAGAGUAUGGUAGAGGGUGGUGGAAUUUCCUGUGUAGCGGUGAAAUGCGUAGAUAUAGGAAGGAACACCAGUGGCGAAGGCGACCACCUGGACUGAUACUGACGCUCAUGCACGAAAGCGUGGGGAGCAAACAGGAUUAGAUACCCCGGUA